GGCCUCAUCAUUCUACUUCUCCGGGGGAAAUUCUCGGCUUGCGGCGGCUUCGGCGGCGGCGGCGCCGCCGCCGCGGCGCGGGGCUACCGCCGGUUCGUAUCUCCGCGAACCGGAGACGUGGAAGGGGGAGGAGAGAUAUAGCGAGUGUGUGUGUGGAGCGAAUCUACAACGCGUCCUUCGUUUUUUUUGGCUAACAACUUCUAUCAAGGGCGUUGCCUCGCCGUUGUUUCUUCCUUAAGGAAUCGCUGGUGAUUAUCCAUUCCCGUAUCACUGCAAACAGCUGCUACUGUCCCUUCCUGUAUCUCAUUCCCUGAAUUGAAGGUGGUACAUACAGAAGAGCCCUAACUAUAGGCAAAGGAGGAAAGAGGCAUCUGUCGCACCGCGCGCCUCUGCUGCUCAAAAGGCUAAAAUCAUGCGAUUUUGUGCUUAGUCCAGUAAACAUUGGGAAGUUAGAAGGUGGUCGUAUUGAGCGGAUUCACCGACAAGUUCUUCCUUGUCAUUAUAUGGCUAUUGGUUUGUAUAAUAGUAUGUAUUUUCAAGACUUGAAGUGCACAUUUUCAAAAUUGUUCAGAAGUCCUUUUGAGGAAGCGGUGGCCCCAGUUGUACUCCAAGCUUCUUCUUUUUUUCCUACAAAUGUUCAGAAACCACAUUAUGCAUACUCAAGUAGUCUACCUGACCCAACUCACCAGUUCAGUUAAAUGAAUAGUGGAGUAGUAGAAAUGUUUCCAUGA